UAUGGGGGGGAGCAAGCGUUGUUCGGAUUUACUGGGCGUAAAGGGCGCGUAGGCGGUCGUGACAAGUCACUUGUGAAAUCUCCGGGCUUAACUCGGAACGGUCAAGUGAUACUGUCGGACUAGAGUACAGAAGGGGCAACUGGAAUUCUCGGUGUAGCGGUGAAAUGCGUAGAUAUCGUGAGGAACACCAGAGGCGAAGGCGGCUACCUGGAACAAUUGCUGACGCUCAGGCACGAAAGCGUGGGGGAGCAAAAGGG
rnacentral:rRNA from 1 species